ACAACAAACGGGUAGACAGAAUAAUGGCAGAUUGAAUUUAAUGCCGCUAAUUGUGAGGUCAUGUACUUUGAGAAGACUGUUUGGCCCGAGAAGUAUGUAGGUGACGGGCAAACAGAGUUGGUGAGGAAGAAGCUGAAUGUGAGGAGGGUAGGUGUGUGGAAUGAAAGGGUAUGUGUGGAACUGGUUGGAUAGAGAGAUUGUUUGGGGGGGGGAGGGGGGGUGGCGUUUGGAAUCUGGACACAUGAAAUAAUAGAAUUCAGCGUUCAUGCCACCGAGUUGGAAUAUGAAGGAAAAGGGUGCAAAAGUCUGAAGAAGGAUCACAACCUAAAACAUCACCCGUACCAUGCCUCUUCAUAUAUACAGCCUCACCUGCUAAGUUACUCCAGUACUUUGUCUUUAUUUGUAAACCAUCGUCUGCAGUUCUUUAUGCCGGAAUAUUUCUAUAUUUUUUUCCUCUGGUUAUCUCAUCUCCAGUCUUUCCAUCCAGAGGAAUGGUCUCAAUUUGACACGUUGACAGUUCAUUUCCCUCCACCGAUACUGUCUAACUCUAACCCAAUGAGUUCCCCCAGUAGUUUGUCUUUUGUUCAAGACUUCAAUGCUAUUGUGCUCUGCCACUGUUCAUGAAGCACCACAUUUCGAAUGGUUUUGUAACCACAAUCUCAACUUCCUUCCUAUUUUCCACAAACUGCCCCCAGAUCUGUCUUUUCUUCCAUAUUUUUCAAAAUUGCGUCAAGUUUAUUUUGACUUUUCUCAUUCUUUCUACCAAAAUGGAAUGCUUUGCAUUUCUCUGCAUUAAGUUUCAUGUCACUUCGCCAUCCAUUCAAUUAACUUUUGAAGGUUUUAUUAACUACCCUCUCGCAUUUUGCUAAACCCAAACCUAAAGUUUUAUAAUUUGUUCAUGUUCAACAAAGUUGUUUUUUUAAUACUUUUUGAAGACGAUUAUUUCCUCUUAACAUCAUACCAAUUAUGAAACAGGAAUUUGACGCACAUUUCCUUAACCACACAAGAAUCUCGUAAUCUGCCACGUCUAUUUUCAAGAAGUUUUUCUGGUUGUGUUUUUGCAAGUCAUUGACACAUAAUGACGUUAAGUUGUACCCUGUGGUCAUUUCACACCGGAUAUUGCUAAACUUCUUAUUUUUGUUGCUCUGCAUAUAUAAUUGAAUUGGCAAUGUAUACAGUAAUCUUUACAUAUUUGAAAUUUGAUAACUUGUGUUACUGAAAUUGCCUGCCACUGUGAAACGGUUCCAAGAAUUACUAUCUGAUUCUCUUCCUCCAGAAUUCUUGCUGUUGUUUAUAAUUUGUUUCUCUAUUUAUUUUGCUACAAACUAUCCUGAUGCUAAAUUGCCUAAGUUGGCUAAAGUAAAAUGAAACCUUUUGUUGUAAUUUAAAAUUUGCAUGUUUUGAAUUAUAAACAGUCCCGAAGCAAAUAUCCCAUUGUCAUUACUUGAGAAAUGUCAGGAAAUGGCGUUGGGAAUGUGAAGCAAUAUUUUGAAAUCAAUUCAACAAAUUACAAUGAAAGAAUGGAAAUCAAAUUGGAGCUGAAAUUAAAUGUGAUUACAGUUUGCAGUAAAACAAGAACUGUAACCAAAUAUAUUUAACAAACAGUGAGGUAUAUUUUACAACUUUCUUCCUGUAGCAUUGUUGCAGGGAAAUGUAAUGUGAGCAAUGUCACGCUAAAUUGAAAAAAACAACAUUCUCGUCAAUCAGUGAACUGCGACUGGUAUUUUACUGUAGGAAACAUCAAAGCCAAUUAACUUCUACAAACAACAAAGUCAUGAUGAGAAUAUCAUUUAUUUCCAGUGAAAUUGGUUGAGGGUGAAAUCUUGGGCAUCAAGAGUAUAUACCUGCUUCCAAUUCUGCACAGAGGCAAAUACAUAAUUCAUUUAUUUGUCUCUGUACUCCACAAUUUGAGAUUUGUAAUAUAAAAAAAUCACAUGUGGUUGAAGUGCACAUUGUUA